rnacentral:Y_RNA from 1 species
AGCUGGUCCAAGUGCAGUGGUGUUUACAACAGCACAACCAGUUACAGGUUUCUUUGUUCCUUUUCCACUCCCACUGCUGCACUUGACUAGCCUUAA